rfam:Gossypium raimondii Chr02_contig_1434, whole genome shotgun sequence.
UGUUAAAAAUUUCAUCCAAUUCUACUGUUAAAAACUAGCGUGCCUAAUGGAAUGGCUAGACAGUUACACGUAACAUGCCACGUGUACCUCAUGCUGAUGUACAGUGGUAAGUUUUUAAUAGUAGAAAUGAAUAAAAUUUUUAACA